CUCAGGAGAAAUUCCAGUGGCUGCCGACAAUACCCUUCAUCUGCUGCUUGACUGCUCGUGCCCACAUAUCUGUCUGCAGCUGCUGUGGGAUACUCACUUCUCCUCCUGUCCUUCACCUCCCACAUGAUUCCAAAGGAUGAAAACAAAUAAAUUCCAUUUCCAUUAUUAUGACUGUGAGUUUUAGCCACUGCAGAUAACAUCUGUAUGUGGGCCUCUCACUGUUGUGGCCUCUCCCGUUGCGGAGCACAGGCUCGGGACGUGCAGGCCCAGCGGCCAUGGUUCACAGGCCUAGACGCUCCGCGGCAUGUGGGAUCCUCCCGGAUGGGGGCACGAACCCGUGUCCCCUGCAUUGGCAGGCGGACUCUCAACCACUGCGCCACCAGGGAAGCCCCCAACGAUAAUUUUUAUACCAGAUUAUAUUUACCACUGAUGUUGGUAUUAUUCUAAACUUUAUCUAAUUGAUUAUUUAAUAUAUAUUAAAAAGUGCUAGUAUUUUAAUUUUACUGAUGAAGACAACUGAAGCAUAGAAAAGUUAUAUGCAAAAGCACUGUUUCAUUAGAAAAAUUAAAUUUAAAGUUCCCAAGAUUUUGACAAUUGCACAGCAUAUUGAAUCAUUAUUUUAUCAUAAAUAAAGCAUUUUAAUUCUUAUGACAAUUCAUUUUUAAG